UACAGAGGUGGCAAGCGUUGUUCGGAAUUACUGGGCGUAAAGGGCGCGUAGGCGGCCUUCUAAGUCAGACGUGAAAUCCCCCGGCUUAACCUGGGAACUGCGUCUGAUACUGGGAGGCUUGAGUAUGGGAGAGGGAUGUAGAAUUCCAGGUGUAGCGGUGAAAUGCGUAGAUAUCUGGAGGAAUACCGGUGGCGAAGGCAGGUCUCUGGGCCGCAACUGACGCUGAGGAGCGAAAGCAUGGGGAGCGAACAGG
rnacentral:rRNA from 1 species